GCGAAGCAGGAUGUUGAAUAUCACUUUAAAAUUUUCAGAACAGUAAACCCGACAGAUUUGUUUACGAAUUUCGUUGUAAUAACCGCUUGCGUGACCCUAUAGACCAGUGCGGUCAAGCGAGCUGAAAACUUGCGCCCAAUUAGUGGUUUUUGAAACGACUCAAGGGCGGACGGUGAGUGUGGGACGCCCUGAACCUGCUCUGUACCGGAUGCUUCGAGACAGGUUUCUAUAGUUUUGGGAGGUGGAUGCUGAGGACCUGAGCUGAGUGAGCGCUUCUCAACCAUCACUUUCAUCCUCUGCAUGUUGUUCAGCGCAGACGACACACUUUCUCAGUGACGCCGAGCCGGUGGGCUGUCGCAGGGGCAGAGUGAGGAGACAAACACCACAGACAAUGAAUGCUGGAGUUGUGACAGUUGAAGGAAACAUCGUUAUAUAUGGUGGGCCAAUUGUCUCUUUGAAAUCAUGUAACCAGGGAGUUAACAAGUUAAUAUUGGAGGACAGGACAAUACGGAAGGCAGACAGGAAGUAAGAGAGAGAGGUGGGGGGAUGGGACCAGGAAGGACCACGAGUCAGGACUCAAACUCGGUUUGCCUGAAACACAACCGCGAUAUAUGUUGGAGUGCUGCCGUUGCCAUUUUUUUUAAGUCUUAAUUUCACGUUAGUUAGCUAGUGAACAAAAAAUGGUUACUAUUUUACCAUGUGAUCGCCAAAGGCAUUUAACUUGCGUAGACAGUGAAUUAUAUAUUAAUAGCAUAUUUGAUUUUCCUUGGAAUUGAUUCAGUGAGCUCAA